rnacentral:rRNA from 1 species
GUCCAUGCCGUAAACGAUGUCUACUAGCCGUUGGUCUCUUUGAGGGAUUAGUGGCGCAGCUAACGCGAUAAGUAGACCGCCUGGGGAGUACGGUCGCAAGACUAAAACUCAAAUGAAUUGACGGGGGCCCGCACAAGCGGUGGAGCAUGUGGUUUAAUUCGAUGCAACGCGAAGAACCUUACCUGGUCUUGACAUAGUAAGAACUUUCCAGAGAUGGAUUGGUGCCUUCGGGAACUUACAUACAGGUGCUGCAUGGCU